rnacentral:lncRNA from 1 species
AAAAAGCCGUCCAGACAAUUGAGAGCUGGUCCUGAUACCCACCACGAGAGUUCCGGUACUGACCCCGACCAUCAAUCUCUAGACUGGAGGCUGUACAGAAACAUGCCCUGAGUCUCUUCCACAGCUCUUGCCACCCUGUGGCUGGGAGUGGGGGAGUCUGGCUACCCAGGAUCCAGCUAAUGUCCACGGUAGAAUGUACUAGCAUUCUUACAUGGAAGGCUGUAUAACACAAGUAGAAGCAAGGUCAAUUCUGCUGGCUAUAAGGUCUAAGGGAGUAGAUUCAUCAUACGCCUUGCUGAAUGACAUUCUCAUCAGCCAUGGGGCUUAUCUGAGGCCCUACCCUUCCUGCUGCCUCUCCGACUGUGAUAAUCAUCACUUGGAGUCCUGCGUUCGCUUCCGGUUGUCUUAAGCCAUUCCCCCUGGAAUGAGUCUGAAGCCAGUCUUCUGUGAGUGAUACCUCGAAAGGCUGAUCCCCAGAGACCAGCAUCUGUGAAAGAGGGCUAAGCCAAGAUGACUUGCCUGAAUCUGUUGCCAACCGGAUCAAUCCUGACCCCUCAGAAUAUUGAUGCCCAAAUAUUGGCCCCACCUUGAAGCAAAGAAUCAACUAUCUGUACCCUUGAACCAGAGUCAUGAACCACAUCGGAGAGGAGAGAUAAAGGCAAAAAGCAUAGCUUCCUAACUGAGGCAGACCUUAUUUGGUCAACAUCAAGUCUUGAGGAUUAGAAGGGGAGAAAGACUGGGGCCAGUCAGAUGGCUCUGUGGGUAAAGGCACUUGCUACCAAGCCUCAGAACCCAUAUGGUGGAAGGGGAGAACUGACUCCUGAAAGUUGUGCUCUGACCUGCAUGAAUGGAGGAGGCGGGAGGGAAGAAGAGGGAGG